rnacentral:rRNA from 1 species
GACGAACGCUGGCGGCGUGCUUAACACAUGCAAGUCGAACGGAAAGGCCCUGCUUUUGUGGGGUGCUCGAGUGGCGAACGGGUGAGUAACACGUGAGUAACCUGCCCUUGACUUUGGGAUAACUUCAGGAAACUGGGGCUAAUACCUGAUAGGAGCUCCUGCUGCAUGGUGGGGGUUGGAAAGUUUAGGCGGUUGGGGAUGGACUCGCGGCUUAUCAGCUUGUUGGUGGGGUAGUGGCUUACCAAGGCUUUGACGGGUAGCCGGCCUGAGAGGGUGACCGGCCACAUUGGGACUGAGAUACGGCGCAGACUCCUACGGGAGGCAGCAGUGGGGAGUAUUGCACAAUCGGCGGAAGCCUGAUGCGGAGACGCCGCGUGCGGGAUGAAGGCUUUCGGGUUGUAAACCGCUUUCGCCUGUGACGAAGCGUGAGUGACGGUAAUGGGUAAAGAAGCACCGGCUAACUACGUG